rnacentral:rRNA from 1 species
AGAGUUUGAUCCUGGCUCAGAACGAACGCUGGCGGCGUGCCUAACACAUGCAAGUCGAACGGAGAUAAGGGGCUUGCUCCUUAUUUUAGUGGCGCACGGGUGAGUAACGCGUGGAUAAUCUACCUUGGAAUCUGGGAUAACAUCUCGAAAGGGGUGCUAAUACCGGAUAAGACCACGAGCUCUUCGGAGUUUGCGGUAAAAGGGGGCCUCUGUAUAUGCUUCUGUUUCAAGAUGAGUCCGCGUACCAUUAGCUAGUUGGCAGGGUAAUGGCCUACCAAGGCGACGAUGGUUAGCUGGUCUGAGAGGAUGAUCAGCCACACUGGAACUGAGACACGGUCCAGACUCCUACGGGAGGCAGCAGUGGGGAAUUUUGCGCAAUGGGGGAAACCCUGACGCAGCAACGCCGCGUGAGUGAUGAAGGCCUUCGGGUCGUAAAGCUCUGUCAGAGGGAAAGAAGUGUGGGAGGGUUAAUACCCCUUUCACUUGACGGCACCCUCAAAGGAAGCACCGGCUAACUCCGUGCCAGCAGCCGCGGUAAUA